rnacentral:rRNA from 1 species
GGUCACUGCUAUUGGGAUUCGACUAAGCCAUGCGAGUCGAGAGGGUUCGGCCCUCGGCUGACGGCUCAGUAACACGUGGAUAAUCUGCCCUUAGGUGGAGGAUAAUCUCGGGAAACUGAGGAUAAUACUCCAUAGAUCUAGGAUGCUGGAAUGCAUCUAGAUUGAAAGCUCCGGCGCCUAAGGAUGAGUCUGCGGACUAUCAGGUUGUAGUCAGGGUAAAGACCUGACUAGCCUACGACGGAUACGGGUUGUGAGAGCAAUAACCCGGAGACGAUAUCUGAGACACGAUAUCGGGCCCUACGGGGCGCAGCAGGCGCGAAAACUUCACACUGUGCGAAAGCGCGAUGAGGGAAUCCCAAGUGUUUGCUCGUAAGAGUAAACUGUUUCUUUGUUUAAAACGCAGAGAGAGUAAGGGCUGGGUAAGACGGGUGCCAGCCGCCGCGGUAAUACCUGCAGCUCAAGUGGUGAUCAUUAUUAUUGGGCCUAAAACGUCCGUAGCCGGUUUAGUAAAUGCCUGGGUAAAUCGUGUAGCUUAACUAUACGACUUCCGGGUAGACUGCUAAACUUGAGACCGGGUGAGGCUAGAGGUACUCCUGGGGUAGAGGUGAAAUUCUGUAAUCCUAGGGGGACCACCAGUGGCGAAGGCGUCUAGCUAGAACGGGUCUGACGGUGAGGGACGAAGCCCUGGGGCACAAACCGGAUUAGAUACCCGGGUAGUCCAGGGUGUAAACGCUGCUUGCUUGAUGUUAGUUGGGCUCCGAGCCCAACUAGUGUCGGAGAGAAGUUGUUAAGCAAGCUGCCUGGGAAGUACGGUCGCAAGGCUGAAAC